AAGCGCGAGUCAUCAGCUCGCGUUGACUACGUCCCUGCCCUUUGUACACACCGCCCGUCGCUCCUACCGAUUGAAUGGUCCGGUGAAGUGUUCGGAUCGCGGCGACGGGGGCGGUUCGCCGCCCCCGACGUCGCGAGAAGUCCAUUGAACCUUAUCAUUUAGAGGAAGGAGAAGUCGUAACAAGGUUUCCGUAGGUGAAUCUGCGGAAGGAUCAUUG
rnacentral:ncRNA from 1 species